AUUAAGAAAGGUUAAGGAGUUGUACAAUUUUGAUUCGAUAAUUGAAAAACCAUCUGCCAGCUUAUGUCUGCUAAGUGGCACUCAGCGUACUAGAGCCAUGAAAGUAUUAAUUGAAAGUUUGUCGAGCUAUCUUGCCUGCCCUCGGUUUAGCAAGAAAGUUCUUGAUGACAAUGGUGGCUUUUGGUGCAGCAAAUGUAAAACAAAAGUGCAUAUGCCCAUUGCCAGGUUCCUUUCUAUGCUUCGUUCCAUCGUUUUUGUAUCUCUGGAUAUUGAGGUUCAGAAGUGGUUCUCCACAGCGCAUCCAAGCUCUUGAGCAGGUUUGAGGUAAACCAUAAAUCUUGCAGAAUCGGUCUCCUGACUCAUUCUAAUUCUGGGCAUCACAAACGGAGCAUGUCUCACAAGUUGUUGUGUAAUGGAAAAUGAACCUG